UACGAAGGGGGCUAGCGUUGUUCGGAAUUACUGGGCGUAAAGGGCGCGCAGGCGGUCUUCCAAGUCGGAUGUGAAAGCCCCGGGCUCAACCUGGGAACUGCAUUCGAGACUGGGGGACUUGAGUUCGGGAGAGGAGAGCGGAAUUCCCAGUGUAGAGGUGAAAUUCGUAGAUAUUGGGAAGAACACCGGUGGCGAAGGCGGUGGUCUGGGCCUGAACUGACGCUGAGGAGCGAAAGCCAGGGGAGCAAACGGG
rnacentral:rRNA from 1 species